GACGAACGCUGGCGGCAUGCUUAACACAUGCAAGUCGAACGGAAAGGCCCUGCCUUUGUGGGGUGCUCGAGUGGCGAACGGGUGAGUAACACGUGAGUAACCUGCCCUUGACUUUGGGAUAACUUCAGGAAACUGGGGCUAAUACCGGAUAGGAGCUCCUGCUGCAUGGUGGGGGUUGGAAAGUUUCGGCGGUUGGGGAUGGACUCGCGGCUUAUCAGCUUGUUGGUGGGGUAGUGGCUUACCAAGGCUUUGACGGGUAGCCGGCCUGAGAGGGUGACCGGCCACAUUGGGACUGAGAUACGGCCCAGACUCCUACGGGAGGCAGCAGUGGGGAAUAUUGCACAAUGGGCGGAAGCCUGAUGCAGCAACGCCGCGUGCGGGAUGACGGCCUUCGGGUUGUAAACCGCUUUCGCCUGUGACGAAGCGUGAGUGACGGUAAUGGGUAAAGAAGCACCGGCUAACUACGUG
rnacentral:rRNA from 1 species